UGCUUGUUGCUUUUCUUAGUGUUCAUGUUUGUCACGAGAGUAUAUGGUUAAAAUCAGUUCAAUCUCAAAAUGUAAGUUUUACAUGUAGAAACAUAUGUUAGGAUAUUAGAAUACAGAUGUGCAUGAAUCAUGGAAGCAAAGAAUCACUUUAAGAAAAAGCUGAAUAUCUCGUAUUUAUUUGCGUGAAUGUUAACAUUUGGAUAAAUCUCUGUUUGAUUCCAUUAUGUUUGUGGAUUUCCACCCAUGAAUUUUAUUUUAACUUGGGAAAUUCUGUGGCCUGAUGAUUCAUAGACAUUUCUCAUGGCGGAAUGCAUAGGCAUGCAUAUAUAUUGAUCAAAUACUCAUUUUUUUAUGGGAGCAAUGUGUAUAUCAUCUAGCUUAUCUUAUGGAAACAAAUAAAUAAAAAGGUUAUCAUCCACCAAAACUAUAUUUGUCCAAUACACACAAAAAAACCCAUAAAAGUAGGCAUAUUAUAUCAGUAUAUUUUCCAAUAAUGGUUAGCUGAGAUACAACUGGUCAGUGUACCUCAUAGUCUUAACUUAUCAUGCAUUCCAUUGUACUGAUCCGAUGUUUUUACUCUUGAAAGUUAUAUACUUAAAUAUUUCUUACAAAAUCAAUAUCAGCUUGUAUCUGAGGACUUCGAUUACUCGGAAUUUGCGUGUAAAUGUAAUUGUUUCAGAUAAUUUGUUUGCUUCUUUUGACAUUAUUUUAUUUGAUCUUGAACUAUAGCAGGUUGUCGAAUGAUGAUUCACAUAUGUUACAAAAUGCUGUUAUAAAUUUCGGGAAUAUGAUUGUUGGUGACAUUGCCAUCGAUAUUUCUACUCUUGAACGAGAGAUUAGUUAUUGGACUACUUUCAGAUUCUUGACACCGAAUGAUGGAGUUAGGGAAAGUUUCUCACUUCUAAAUAAACAUAUUUCAGAUCUGAGUAUGCUUACAACCAUACAAGGAUAUCCGCGUACGUUUUAUGAUCAGGAUACUUGCCAACGAUUUUUGGCUGUCUAUGUAAUUGUUCAACAAAUACUCAAAGCAGCUACAGAUUUUGCAAAACAUGCAUCUUUCAAUAAUAAAAAGAUUCAAAGUUUCGCAUCCUUUGGUUACAUCAAGCCAGGGUCUUCAGAUAUUCAUACUGUUCAGGUUAGCGGUGAGGAUCCAAGGGGAAAGGCCACACAAGAUUUUAAAUCUCGCAGCGAUGAAGUAAUGAAGAGGUUGGUCCAUUGGCUUGCCAAACAUCAAACUGUGGAAAGCCUGUUGAAGUUCUCCCAAUUUGAGUUCUCCGAAUUUGAUUUUGAGUAGUGUGCUGAUUCAAGUCUUAUGUUGCCAACGUGUAUACAGCCAUCUAAUGAAUCAGCUUAAUUUCCUUUGUAGUUAAGGUAGUGUACUACCAGUAUUUAACAAUUAACAUGCAGGGUAUAAGUUUAGGAAAUGAGACUUUAAAUACAAGUAUGCAUUAGGUUCGCGUGGGCCCAUUUGUCA